AGAGUUUAACAAAACAAUAAUCGAACACCAAUGACUAACCCGUGAUCGAGGAUUGAUUAGAACUACUUCCUAUUUCCUUAACUUUUGCCAUGCAUUAUCAUUUUUUUUUUUUUUAAAUCUGUGUAGAAAUAAUAUAAUUUUUAUGAUCAGUCAUUAUCAAUUACAGUAAAAACAAAAUAUGUAACUAAUAUAAGAAGUUAUAACUAUAGCUACCAGUAAUUA
rnacentral:lncRNA from 1 species